UACUUUGUAAACCCUAGCCGCCACCCAUGUUUCUUCAUCUUCAUCUCAACACAGCCCCCAUCUUCAUCUUCAUCUCUCAACCUUUCUCACAGCCCCCCCUCCCCACCCAACGUCUUCAUCUCUCAUCUCUCUCAACCUUUCUUUAAAGCUUUAAGCACAACCCCCCCUCCUCCCCCAAAGUAGAUCUGGUGAACGAACCAUCCAUAUCUCUCAUCUCUCCAUCUUUUUGUUCUUUUCUUUAAGCAUAGCCGACUAAGCUCAUGGAUUAACAACCAAACAGCAGCUCUGGAGCCCCCCUCUCUUCAAUCUUUAUCUCUUAAUUUUUUUGUUCCUUUUUGCUUUUUUUCUGAUUUCUGUAGAUCUAUUAUGUAUUCAUUUCCUAUAUUUAUUUACAAGGUUGUUGAUUUGCCAUAGUAUGCUCAUGUUGCGAUUACUGUAAUGGAUGUUGUGAGAAUUAUUUAUUUACAAUUUCUCUUCGGUUUUAUCUCUUUUUGGUGGGGUAUUCUUCAGUGGUUGGCAAUUUAUACAAGAUGUAAUGCUUAACUGGAAGGCAGUUAGGAUGGAUCCUAUACCCAGGUUUGAAAAAAAUGUCCAUCUACAAGCAAGACUCCCUGUUAAGUGCUUCUAAUGAUAUUCUUGAAACCUACAACUGUGUUGCUAAUCUGUAAUAGUUUUGUAAUUCUCAAGUUGGCAAGGCAUUUUUUCAUCAUAUACGGGUUUCUUCAUUACAUCAAAUUAUGGCAACAAUCUGUGAAUUCAAAGCUGUAAAAGCUCAAUUUAAUGUAAGCUUUAAAAAAAUCCAAAAC
rnacentral:lncRNA from 1 species